GGCAACAUGGCCGAGUGGUCUAAGGCGCCAGAAUCAGGUUACGUAAUAAGCUGAAUCUGGUCUUCGGGCGUGGGUUCGAAUCCCACUGUUGUCA